rfam:Stentor coeruleus isolate WM001 SteCoe_contig_1051, whole genome shotgun sequence.
CCGACCAUAGCUCAGUUGGUAGAGCAUGGGACUGUAGAAGCAUAGUAAUCCCAGGGUCACCGGUUCAAAUCCGGUUGGUCGGA